GUGCACGCUGGCGGUAGGCCUAACACAUGCCAGUCGAACGGCAGCACAGUAAGAGCCUGCUCUUACGGGUGGCGAGUGGCGGACGGGUGAGGAAUACAUCGGAAUCUACUUUUUCGUGGGGGAUAACGUAGGGAAACUUACGCUAAUACCGCAUACGACCUACGGGUGAAAGCAGGGGAUCUUCGGACCUUGCGCGAUUGAAUGAGCCGAUGUCGGAUUAGCUAGUUGGCGGGGUAAAGGCCCACCAAGGCGACGAUCCGUAGCUGGUCUGAGAGGAUGAUCAGCCACACUGGAACUGAGACACGGUCCAGACUCCUACGGGAGGCAGCAGUGGGGAAUAUUGGACAAUGGGCGCAAGCCUGAUCCAGCCAUACCGCGUGGGUGAACAAGGCCUUCGGGUUGUAAAGCCCUUUUGUUGGGAAAGAAAAGCAGCAGGUUAAUACCCCGCUGUUCUGACGGUACCCAAAGAAUAAGCACCGGCUAACUUCGUG
rnacentral:rRNA from 1 species